rnacentral:rRNA from 1 species
GACGUGCUAAUCUGCGAUAAGCGUCGGUAAGGUGAUAUGAACCGUUAUAACCGGCGAUUUCCGAAUGGGGAAACCCAGUGUGAUUCGUCACACUAUCAUUAACUGAAUCCAUAGGUUAAUGAGGCGAACCGGGGGAACUGAAACAUCUAAGUACCCCGAGGAAAAGAAAUCAACCGAGAUUCCCCCAGUAGCGGCGAGCGAACGGGGAGCAGCCCAGAGCCUGAAUCAGUGUGUGUGUUAGUGGAAGCGUCUGGAAAGGCGUGCGAUACAGGGUGACAGCCCCGUACACAAAAAUGCACAUACUGUGAGCUCGAUGAGUAGGGCGGGACACGUGGUAUCCUGUCUGAAUAUGGGGGGACCAUCCUCCAAGGCUAAAUACUCCUGACUGACCGAUAGUGAACCAGUACCG